rnacentral:rRNA from 1 species
ACAACCAAGGCGAUGAUAGGNAGCCGGCCUGAGAGGGUGGACGGCCACAAGGGGACUGAGAUACGGCCCUUACUCUUACGGGAGGCAGCAGUGGGGAAUAUUGGACAAUGGAGGUAACUCUGAUCCAGCAAUUCUGUGUGCACGACGAAGGUCUUCGGAUUGUAAAGUGCUUUAAGUUGGGAAGAAAAAAAUGGAGGUAG